AGAAAAAUCAACGCAGCUUGAAACAACCAAAAUAUUUGUUGCUCAAUAAACUUAAAAUUUUGUUGACAUCAAGUAACAUUUGAUUAAUUCAAAGUCACUAAUUUGGUUGCCAUCAAUAAUGUUGAUUGGUUGUUUCUACCUUAAGCAAACAAUAUGAGUCAUUUGUUGUUUCAAACCAAGUUUUUAGUUAUCUUCAAGAAAACCGUAGUUUGUUUUUACCAAAUGUCAGGUUCUUUAAUUAUUGAUGUCAAACCAAGGAACAAACUAAAACUUCAGGAUGAUUCAACCAAAUCAACCCAUCGAGUUCAACUAAAAUUUUGGUUGGAGGAAAAAUGAUGUCGGUUUUAGUUUGAAAUUACCAAAUUCUUAGAUUGUUCGAUUCUGUCAUCGACAGCCCAUCGCUGGCUCGGUGUUCAGUGCAUAAACAACGCCAUUUGCCUUAGAUUGCAUGAAUUUGCCAACAACUCUUAAAACAUUUUCGUACGCAUCGGUUUCCAGUUUCAGUUUUCGCGGUACCGAGUGAAGCCACAUAGGAAUUCGUGCUGCUGUGGAUCUAGAAACCAGAAAGUAUUGCGAGGAGUCACGAUAUCGGUUUUAUUCCUUGGUAAAGAAUGGCGAAAACUCCAAUGGAUUGGGCUUCCGUAGAUCAGCAUCGUUUUCAGCGAGGUUUUAUUGAAAAACCAAGGAGGAAAAACCGACCAACGAAUCCUUAAACAAUUGCUACUGUAGCUAAACUGCAUUUUAUUAUAAUAAUGUAGGAUUAUUUCCAUUUGUGUUAUAUGUUUUGAGGUACAUAUUAAAAUUAUGUAAGCACA